UGGGGAAUAUUGGACAAUGGGCGAAAGCCUGAUCCAGCCAUGCCGCGUGUGUGAAGAAGGUCUUCGGAUUGUAAAGCACUUUAAGUUGGGAGGAAGGGCAGUAAGCGAAUACCUUGCUGUUUUGACGUUACCGACAGAAUAAGCACCGGCUAACUCUGUGCCAGCAGCCGCGGUAAUACAGAGGGUGCAAGCGUUAAUCGGAAUUACUGGGCGUAAAGCGCGCGUAGGUGGUUCGUUAAGUUGAAUGUGAAAGCCCCGGGCUCAACCUGGGAACUGCAUCCAAUACUGGCGAGCUAGAGUAGAGCAGAGGGUGGUGGAAUUUCCUGUGUAGCGGUGAAAUGCGUAGAUAUAGGAAGGAACACCAGUGGCGAAGGCGACCACCUGGGCUCAUACUGACACUGAGGUGCGAAAACGUGGGGAGCAAACAGG
rnacentral:rRNA from 1 species